rfam:Ciona savignyi cont_31747, whole genome shotgun sequence.
GGCCCGUUGGUCUAGGGUCAUGAUUCUCGCUUUGGGUGCGAGAGGUCCCGGGUUCAAAUCCCGGACGGGCCC